rnacentral:tRNA from 1 species
GAUUGAGGCUUAGACAGUAAAGCAUCUGCCUACAAUGCAGGAGACCUGGGUUCAACCCCUGGAUCA